rnacentral:rRNA from 1 species
CGUGCAGGCGGCCACCGCAAGUUGAAUGUGAAAUCCCCGGGCUUAACCCGGGAAGUGCGUUCAAGACUGCGGGGCUUGAAUACGGGAUAGGAUCGUGGAAUUCCUGGUGUAGAGGUGAAAUUCGUAGAUAUCAGGAGGAACACUCGUGGCGAAGGCGACGGUCUGGACCGAUAUUGACGCUGAGACGCGAAAGCGUGGGUAGCAAACA